rnacentral:rRNA from 1 species
UACGUAGGGUGCAAGCGUUAAUCGGAAUUACUGGGCGUAAAGCGUGCGCAGGCGGUUUUGUAAGUCUGAUGUGAAAUCCCCGGGCUCAACCUGGGAAUUGCAUUGGAGACUGCAAGGCUAGAAUCUGGCAGAGGGGGGUAGAAUUCCACGUGUAGCAGUGAAAUGCGUAGAGAUGUGGAGGAACACCGAUGGCGAAGGCAGCCCCCUGGGUCAAGAUUGACGCUCAUGCACGAAAGCAUGGGGAGCGAACAGG